CCUCAUCAGGAAGCAGCCUACAGGUCACAUGACCAUCCAGCAUGUUUCCAGGUCUGAUGAAGGCCUCUACAAGUGUGACAUCAGCGGUCAUGGAGAGUCUCCAUCCAGCUGGAUCACUGUCACAGACAAACACACCACCACACCUCCAUCUACAUCCACACCUCCUGCUGUUCUCUCUGUGUUGUCAUGUGUUGGAUCAGUCUGUGUUGUUGUUCUACUGGUGUUACUAGUGAGACGAUAUGUUCACAAAAAUCCUGAAGUAGCCAACUUCUCAUCAAUGUGUCCUGGUUUCUCAACACCUGAUGCAGCUCUUGUUAAUGCGGGUGAUGCCCAAGCUGAGAGUGAUUCAACUGUAAUCUACUCAACAGUGAGAACACAACCCACCAAUUAUGAACAAAUAACCAUCACACCAAAGACGACCAGAGACUUUAAUCCAGAGCCAGAUGUCAUCUACACUUCACUGAAGUAGUCCACCAGUCCACCCAACUGGUCAGACCAGCUCUGGAGCCCAGACGACAUCCACAAUUUCAAAAGAUUACUCUAUGUAUUUUAUGUCUUUUUCCCAUUUUUUAGACUCAUGUGCUUUAAGAAAUCACAUAAGCAUAACCGGAAUUAUACAGAGCCCCAGAGCCUAAACAUGGAAGACCAGGAGGGCAACAUGGCUGUGGCACUGUUCUGCUGACGAGGCGCAGGCCAGCCAGUCGUCCAGGAAUCAGGAGCAGAGUGUGUGUUCUUGAACGAGUGGAGUCACGGUCUGGGAACGGGAGUUUUUGGAGAUGUUGUAUUUUCACCUUUUCAUGAACACAGUGCCUGAGAUUUGUACAUAAUUGUAUUUCUUUGCCAACUGUAAAUAAACCUCACCAUUCUUCACCAUUCUUCAUCAGAGUACUGCCUUUUGGAUCCUCCUUCUCACUGCAACUCCACUGUCUGCCACUGCAGUCUGCUAUAGACAAACUGUCACAGCUUUAGACAAC
ensembl:lncRNA